UCUCCGUUGGUGAACCAGCGGAGGGAUCAUUACAGGACUCGCAAGACUCCUACAACCCUGUGAACUUAACUAUAAGCACGUUGCUUCGGCGGGUGUCUCGGAGGGGGUUCUCCCUCCCCGAGACGCUAAACCCGCCGGCAGCCCACUAUACUCUGUCUCUUUGCGUUGGCAUCUCGAGUACAAUCAAACAAGUUAAAACUUUCAACAACGGAUCUCUUGGUUCUG
rnacentral:misc_RNA from 1 species